GAAAUGCGAUAAGUAAUGUGAAUUGCAGAAUUCCGUGAAUCAUCGAAUCUUUGAACGCACAUUGCGCCCUCUGGCAUUCCGGGGGCAUGCCUGUCCGAGCGUCAUUACGCACCCUCAAGCCCGGCUUGUGUGAUGGGCCCCGGCGUCUCGUUCGCGAGACGGGCCCGAAAGGCAGCGGCGGCGUCGACCCGAUGAGCCAGAGCGUAUGGGGACUUCUGUCACACGUUCGCGGUGCGGACCGGCGCCUGCUUGACUUUUCUGAUUAUCCAGGUUGACCUCGGAUCAGGUAGGGAUACCCGCUGAACUUAAGC
rnacentral:misc_RNA from 1 species